AACGAACGCUGGCGGCAGGCUUAACACAUGCAAGUCGAGCGCCCCGCAAGGGGAGCGGCAGACGGGUGAGUAACGCGUGGGAAUCUACCCAUCCCUACGGAAUAGCUCCGGGAAACUGGACUUAAUACCGUAUACGCCCUACGGGGGAAAGAUUUAUCGGGGAUGGAUGAGCCCGCGUUGGAUUAGCUAGUUGGUGGGGUAAAGGCCUACCAAGGCGACGAUCCAUGGCUGGUCUGAGAGGAUGAUCAGCCACAUUGGGACUGAGACACGGCCCAAACUCCUACGGGAGGCAGCAGUGGGGAAUAUUGGACAAUGGGGGCAACCCUGAUCCAGCCAUGCCGCGUGAGUGAUGAAGGCCUUAGGGUUGUAAAGCUCUUUCACCGGGGAAGAUAAUGACGGUACCCGGAGAAGAAGCCCCGGCUAACUUCGUGCCAGCAGCCGCGGUAA
rnacentral:rRNA from 1 species